ensembl:lncRNA
CAAGAAACCAAAUAGUCUGGCUGACAUUCUGUCUCUACUACUAUAAAAUUAGAGACUGUUCUUUGGAAGUAAGCAAAGUUACAAAUUCAGACGAGUAUCAAAUAAUUUUCCUCUAGUGGAUUCAUUAUAUUGGAAUUAUACUCAAAAGAAAACGAGUCUUACCUGGCGGGCUUGACUAAACUAGUUUGUGUUUUCUAAUUUUUUUCCAACCUGUUCUGGCUGUGCGAAUAAAUAUGCGAAUAAACAUGCAAGGCAAGGCAAGGCAAAUUUAUUUGUAUAGCACAAUUCAACAACAAGGUGAUUCAAAGUGCUUUACAGAGACAUUAGAAACAAAAACAAAUAAAAAGCAUGAUUUAAAAUUGAUUAAAACAAGCAAACAAACAAACUAACUAAACACACACAUUUCACACCUGUUCGCGCGAUCUGAACCGUUUUCGUAAGGGGAGCUACCAGUCCUUCUGUGGACGAGCUACUUUCUAUUUUAAAUUCCCUGAAUUUAAAAUACUCUCUAGACCCAGUCUAGACCCAGCUGGGGAGCUACCCAGAGCUCUAAACCCACUUAACUAACAAACAAACAAACAAACAAACAAACAAACAAACAAACAAACAAACAAACAAACAAACAAACAAACAAACAGUAUAUAAAAUCCAAACAAACAAACAAACAAACAGUAUAUAAAAUCCAAACAAACAAACAGUAUAUAAAAUCCAAACAAACAAACAGUAUAUAAAAUCCAAACAAACAAACAGUAUAUAAAAUCCAAACAAACAAACAGUAUAUAAAAUCCAAACAAACAAACAGUAUAUAAAAUCCAAACAAACAAAAAAUCCAAACAAACAUAGAUAAAAUCCAAACAAACAAACAAACAAACAGUAUAUAAAAUCCAAA